UAGGGAAUCUUCCGCAAUGGGCGAAAGCCUGACGGAGCAACGCCGCGUGAGUGAUGAAGGUCUUCGGAUCGUAAAACUCUGUUAUUAGGGAAGAACAAAUGUGUAAGUAACUAUGCACGUCUUGACGGUACCUAACCAGAAAGCCACGGCUAACUACGUGCCAGCAGCCGCGGUAAUACGUAGGUGGCAAGCGUUAUCCGGAAUUAUUGGGCGUAAAGCGCGCGUAGGCGGUUUUUUAAGUCUGAUGUGAAAGCCCACGGCUCAACCGUGGAGGGUCAUUGGAAACUGGAAAACUUGAGUGCAGAAGAGGAAAGUGGAAUUCCAUGUGUAGCAGUGAAAUGCGCAGAGAUAUGGAGGAACACCAGUGGCGAAGGCGACUUUCUGGUCUGUAACUGACGCUGAUGUGCGAAAGCGUGGGGAUCAAACAGG
rnacentral:rRNA from 1 species